UACGAAGGGGGCUAGCGUUGCUCGGAAUCACUGGGCGUAAAGGGCGCGUAGGCGGCCAUUUAAGUCGGGGGUGAAAGCCUGUGGCUCAACCACAGAAUUGCCUUCGAUACUGGCUGGCUUGAGUAUGGUAGAGGUCAGUGGAACUGCGAGUGUAGAGGUGAAAUUCGUAGAUAUUCGCAAGAACACCAGUGGCGAAGGCGGCUGACUGGACCAUUACUGACGCUGAGGCGCGAAAGCGUGGGGAGCAAACAGG
rnacentral:rRNA from 1 species